rnacentral:rRNA from 1 species
UACGUAGGAUCCGAGCGUUGUCCGGAGUUACUGGGUGUAAAGGGUGCGUAGGCGGACUUGUGCGUCAGAGGUGAAAUCCACGAGCUUAACUCGUGGGGUGCCUUUGAUACGGCAAGUCUUGAGUGCGAGAGAGGCGGGUGGAAUUCCUGGUGUAGCAGUGAAAUGCGUAGAUAUCAGGAGGAACACCGAUGGCGAAGGCAGCCCGCCGGCUCGCAACUGACGCUGAGGCACGAAAGCGUGGGGAUCAAACAGGAUUAGAUACCCCUGUAGU